GAUGAAGAACGUAGCGAAAUGCGAUACGUAAUGUGAAUUGCAGAAUUCAGUGAAUCAUCGAGUCUUUGAACGCACAUUGCGCCCUCUGGUAUUCCGGAGGGCAUGCCUGUCCGAGCGUCAUUGCUGCCCUCAAGCACGGCUUGUGUGUUGGGCCCCGCCCCCCGAUCCCGGGGGGCGGGCCCGAAAGGCAGCGGCGGCACCGCGUCCGGUCCUCGAGUGUAUGGGGCUUUGUCACCCGCUCUGUAGGCCCGGCCGGCGCUUGCCGAUCAACCAAACUUUUUUCCAGGUUGACCUCGGAUCAGGUAGGGAUACCCGCUGAACUUAAGCAUAUCAAUAAGCGGAGGA
rnacentral:misc_RNA from 1 species